UCUCUGCUAGUAUAUCGGUUAGUACACGCGCCUGUCAUUCAAUUUCAGACGGUCGCGCGAAAGCUGGGUUCGACUCCCAGGCAGAGAG